rnacentral:pre_miRNA from 1 species
GCAAAUUGCAGGUUUGUGCGUGAAUCUGACGAAAUUUCUCUAUUAUCUGCGUUCUACUUCUGCGUUAGAUUCACGCACAAACUUGUCAUUUUCCU